rnacentral:rRNA from 1 species
GGACCGGCUAUCCGUGCAGCAGCCGCGGUAAUACGGAAGGUCCAGGCGUUAUCCGGAUUUAUUGGGUUUAAAGGGAGCGUAGGCGGACCGGUAAGUCAGUUGUGAAAGUUCGGGGCUCAACCCCGGAAUUGCAGUUGAUACUGUCGGUCUUGAGUGCACACAGGGGUGCUGGAAUUCAUGGUGUAGCGGUGAAAUGCUUAGAUAUCAUGAAGAACUCCGAUCGCGAAGGCAUGUGCCCGGAGUGCAACUGACGCUGAGGCUCGAAAGUGCGGGUAUCAAACAGGAUUAGAUACCCUGGUAGUCCGCACAGUAAACGAUGGAUACUCGCGGUUUGCGAUACAAUGUAAGCCGCCAAGCGAAAGCGUUAAGUAUCCCACCUGGGGAGUACGCCGGCA